rnacentral:lncRNA from 1 species
CCGGGCUGAGCGUAGCAGUCUGCGUCCCGCCCUGCUGGCCGCGUCCCCGGCCCGGGCGGCGUGCUCGCGGGGCUGGAAGGCCGCUGCGCGGACAGCGCGGGACCCACGCCCCCGACCACGCCCUCGCCGGCAGCCCUGGGUCGCAGCAGCCCAAGGUGCGCGCGGCGCUGGGGCGGUCGUGGGGAGAGGGUGGUGGUGGUUGGUUAACGCAGAGCGCUGGUCCUCCGAGAGUAGCAGGGUCAGCGCCAUCCUUCGCCCUCUUCCUGGCCACGCCUUGGACCGGUUUCCUGAUUCUCGGCUUGCUGGUCUUGCUGUGUCCUGGCCUCCGAGAGGGCUCCGUGGUAUGUGUAGCUCCUGACUGCCCCGCGGUGGCCUGUCCAGAUGCUCUGUACUGGUUCUGCCCUGCACGCCUGCCUUUUUCCUUCCAGCUGGAAGGGGUCUUCAGUUCCCAGAAGAGCCAACGCGUCUUGGAAUCUAAGUGGGUAAAGAACGGUCUGUGACCUUCACCCUAACCUGGAGGGCCUUCAUUUGGCCCAAUGGCUGCACCUCCGCUGGGCCGUCUGGUGCUAACCCACCUGCUGGUGGCCCUUUUCGGUGUGGGCUCCUGGGCUGCUGUCAACGGAAUCUGGGUGGAGCUGCCCGUGGUGGUGAAAGACCUCCCCGAGGGUGAGUGGGGUGGGGUGGGCGUUGAGCCCGGGAUGGUGGGCAGGCUGCUCUUUGGUCCUCAGCCUUGUGCCCCUGACAAGAUCUCCCCCCACCCCCCUGCAGGUUGGAGCCUCCCCUCGUACCUUUCUGUGCUUGUGGCGCUGGGGAACCUGGGUCUACUGAUGGUGACCCUGUGGAGGCGGCUAGCUCCCGGCAAGGGGGAGCGGGUCCCCAUCCAGGUGGUGCAGGGACUAAGUAUGGUGGGCACAGCCCUGCUGGCCCCUCUGUGGCACCAUGUGGCCCCAGUGGCGGGGCAGCCCCACUCAGUAGCCUUCCUGACACUGACACUGGUGCUGGCGUUGGCCUGUUGUGCCUCUAAUGUCACUUUCCUGCCCUUCCUGAGCCACUUGCCACCUCCUUUCUUGCGGUCUUUCUUCCUGGGUCAGGGCCUCAGUGCUCUGCUGCCCUGCAUACUGGCCCUGGUGCAGGGUGUGGGUCGCCUUGAGUGUCUGCCUGCCCCAGCCAAUGGUACCCCUGGGCCCCCCAUCAACUUCCCUGAGCGUUUUUCUGCCAGCACAUUCUUCUGGGCACUGACCGCCCUCCUGGUCACUUCAGCUGCUGCCUUCCAGGGUCUCCUGCUGCUGCUGCCUCCUUCACCACCAUCUGUACCCACUGGGGGCCCUGGGCCAGGCCUACGGGUGGGAACACCAGGAGUGGAGGAGGAGGAGGAGGAGGAGGAGGAGGAAUCACCAUUGCAGGAAUCCCCAAGUCAGGCAGCAGGCACCCCCCUCCCAGACCCCCAGGCUUCUCAGCUGUUCUCAGUCCGGGGUGCCUGCCUGCUGGGCCUGCUGGCUGUCACCAACGCACUGACCAACGGCGUGCUGCCUGCAGUGCAGAGCUUUUCCUGUCUGCCCUAUGGGCGCCUGGCCUACCACCUGGCUGUGGUGCUGGGUAGCUCCGCCAACCCCCUGGCCUGCUUCCUGGCCAUGGGCAUACUGUGCAGGUGAACAUGGGCCCAAGCUUGUUGGUGGGGGACAAUGUAGGGGUAGGGUCCUGAUCCUGGCUCAGCCAGUCCUGAGUUCCUCCCCCUCUCUGGCAGGUCCCUGGCAGGGCUGUGUGGUCUCUCUCUGCUAGGCUUGCUCUUUGGGGCCUACCUGAUGGCACUGGCAAUCCUGAGCCCCUGCCCUCCCCUAGUGGGCACCUCUACAGGCGUGGUCCUUGUGGUAGGUACAGUGGGUCAUGAAGUGGGGAAGGGGAUUGCCCCUGUGCAAGAGCAUCUCACACUCAGCCUGCUGCUGUCAUCUGCCUCUCAGGUGUUGUCGUGGGUGCUGUGUGCAGGUGUGUUCUCGUAUGUCAAGGUGGCGAUCAGCUCCAUGCUGCACGGCGGGGGGCGGCCAGCACUGCUAGCGGCUGGUGUGGCCAUCCAGGUGGGCUCCCUGCUCGGUGCUGUUGCCAUGUUCCCUCCCACCAGCAUCUAUCACGUGUUCCACAGUGGAGAAGAUUGUGUGGACCUGUGUGGUCCUUGAGCCUGUGCAGGUGGGACUCUCCACCCACCCCCCAACCUCCCACCUCCACCUGGACACUACCACAAUACCUGAGCACCUGCUGCCCAGGGAGGCUUCCCGCCCAACACUGACACGUUCACGGACACCUGCACACUCCACAGGAGCCCCUGGCAAUUUCAUUCCAGGGUGGGGAUCAAAGAGCAGGCCUGAAGCCAGGGACAGGUUGGGUCUGCAGGCUUGGCCCUGGGCCUAGGACCUUCAUGGGUUUGCACAAUAAAGCAUCUUUAUUCAGUGGGCAGUUGUUAAUCACAUGAGC